rnacentral:rRNA from 1 species
AGAGUUUGAUCCUGGCUCAGGAUGAACGCUGGCGGCGUGCUUAACACAUGCAAGUCGAGCGAAGCACUUGCCAUUGACUCUUCGGAAGAUCUGGCAAAUGACUGAGCGGCGGACGGGUGAGUAACGCGUGGGUAACCUGCCUCAUACAGGGGAAUAACAGUUAGAAAUGGCUGCUAAUGCCGCAUAAGCGCACAGGGCCGCAUGGUCUGGUGUGAAAAACUCCGGUGGUAUGAGAUGGACCCGCGUCUGAUUAGGUAGUUGGCGGGGUAACGGCCCACCAAGCCGACGAUCAGUAGCCGACCUGAGAGGGUGACCGGCCACAUUGGGACUGAGACACGGCCCAGACUCCUACGGGAGGCAGCAGUGGGGAAUAUUGCACAAUGGGGGAAACCCUGAUGCAGCAACGCCGCGUGAGUGAAGAAGUAUUUCGGUAUGUAAAGCUCUAUCAGCAGGGAAGAUAAUGACGGUACCUGACUAAGAAGCUCCGGCUAAAUACGUGCCAGCAGCCGCGGUAAUACGUAUGGAGCAAGCGUUAUCCGGAUUUACUGGGUGUAAAGGGUGCGUAGGUAGCAGUGCAAGUCAGAUGUGAAAGGCCGGGGCUCAACCCCGGAGCUGCAUUUGAAACUGCAUAGCUAGAGUACAGGAGAGGCAGGCGGAAUUCCUAGUGUAGCGGUGAAAUGCGUAGAUAUUAGGAGGAACACCAGUGGCGAAGGCGGCUUACUGGACGGUAACUGACGUUGAGGCUCGAAAGCGUGGGUAGCAAACAGGAUUAGAUACCCUGGUAGUCCAUGCCGUAAACGAUGAUUACUAGGUGUGGGGGGUCUGACCCCCUCCGUGCCGGAGUUAACACAAUAAGUAAUCCACCUGGGGAGUACGACCGCAAGGUUGAAACUCAAAGGAAUUGACGGGGGCCCGCACAAGCAGUGGAGUAUGUGGAUUAAUUCGAAGCAACGCGAAGAACCUUACCAGGUCUUGACAUCCAACUAACGAAGCAGAGAUGCAUUAGGUGCCCUUCGGGGAAAGUUGAGACAGGUGGUGCAUGGUUGUCGUCAGCUCGUGUCGUGAGAUGUUGGGUUAAGUCCCGCAACGAGCGCAACCCUUAUGGUCAGUUACUACGCAAGAGGACUCUGGCCAGACUGCCGUUGACAAAACGGAGGAAGGUGGGGAUGACGUCAAAUCAUCAUGCCCUUUAUGACUUGGGCUACACACGUACUACAAUGGCGUUAAACAAAGAGAAGCGAGACCGCGAGGUGGAGCAAAACUCAGAAACAGCGUCCCAGUUCGGACUGCAGGCUGCAACUCGCCUGCACGAAGUCGGAAUUGCUAGUAAUCGUGGAUCAGCAUGCCACGGUGAAUACGUUCCCGGGCCUUGUACUCACCGCCCGUCA